GGCGCAGUUGUUAGUAGAUACGACUGCCUGCGAAGCAGAAGGUUCCGGGUUCAAUUCCCGGUGGGGUCA